rnacentral:rRNA from 1 species
AUUGAACGCUGGUGGCAGGCCUAACACAUGCAAGUCGAGCGAGCGGCGGACGGGUGAGUAAUGUUUGGGAUACUGCCUGAUGGCGUGGGACAACUACUUGAAACGGUAGCUAAUACCUCAUACCAUCAGAUGUGCCUAGAUGUGAUAAACUAGUAGGUGGGGUAACGGCUCACCUAGGCGACGAUCCCUAGCUGAUCUGAGAGGUUGUCCAGACAGACUGGAACUGAGACACGGUCAAGAGUCCAACGGGAGGCAGAAGUGGGGAAUAUUGCACAAUGGGCGCAAGCCUGAUGCAGCCAUGCCGGGUGUGUGAAGAAGGACUUCGGGUUGUAAGGCACUAUCAGCGGGGAGGCGUAACAGGCAGAGGAAGCACCGGCUAAGUACGUGCCAGCAGCCGCGGUAAAGC